CCAAAGGCUCUUUUAAGAGCCACCCACUUAGUCUCGAAAGAGCUG
rfam:Mesitornis unicolor contig39644, whole genome shotgun sequence.